GGUACGGUGGCUUAGCGGUUAUCACGUUUUCCUCGCACGUCCGUGGUUGGGGGUUCGAGUCGCUCCUCCGCACUG